ACGUUAGCGGCGGACGGGUGAGUAACACGUGGAUAACCUACCUAUAAGACUGGGAUAACUUCGGGAAACCGGAGCUAAUACCGGAUAAUAUAUUGAACCGCAUGGUUCAAUAGUGAAAGACGGUUUUGCUGUCACUUAUAGAUGGAUCCGCGCCGCAUUAGCUAGUUGGUAAGGUAACGGCUUACCAAGGCAACGAUGCGUAGCCGACCUGAGAGGGUGAUCGGCCACACUGGAACUGAGACACGGUCCAGACUCCUACGGAC
rnacentral:rRNA from 1 species